rnacentral:rRNA from 1 species
AUUGAACGCUGGCGGCAUGCCUUACACAUGCAAGUCGAACGGUAACAGGUCUUCGGAUGCUGACGAGUGGCGAACGGGUGAGUAAUACAUCGGAACGUGCCCGAUCGUGGGGGAUAACGGAGCGAAAGCUUUGCUAAUACCGCAUACGAUCUACGGAUGAAAGCAGGGGACCGCAAGGCCUUGCGCGGACGGAGCGGCCGGUGGCAGAUUAGGUAGUUGGUGGGAUAAAAGCUUACCAAGCCGACGAUCUGUAGCUGGUCUGAGAGGACGACCAGCCACACUGGGACUGAGACACGGCCCAGACUCCUACGGGAGGCAGCAGUGGGGAAUUUUGGACAAUGGGCGAAAGCCUGAUCCAGCCAUGCCGCGUGCAGGAUGAAGGCCUUCGGGUUGUAAACUGCUUUUGUACGGAACGAAAAGACUCUUUCUAAUACAGAGGGUCCAUGACGGUACCGUAAGAAUAAGCACCGGCUAACUACGUG